UACGUAGGGGGCAAGCGUUGUCCGGAAUCAUUGGGCGUAAAGCGCGUGUAGGCGGUUCGGUAAGUCGGCUGUGAAAGUCCAGGGCUCAACCCUGGGAUGCCGGUCGAUACUGCCGGACUAGAGUUCGGAAGAGGCGAGUGGAAUUCCCGGUGUAGCGGUGAAAUGCGCAGAUAUCGGGAGGGACACCAAUGGCGAAGGCAGCUCGCUGGGACGUUACUGACGCUGAGACGCGAAAGCGUGGGGAGCAAACAGG
rnacentral:rRNA from 1 species